AACGUAGGUGGCGAGCGUUAUCCGGAUUUACUGGGCGUAAAGCGCACGUAGGCGGCUUUGUAAGUUAGAGGUGAAAGCCCGGGGCUCAACUCCGGAACUGCCUUUAAGACUGCAUCGCUUGAAUCCAGGAGAGGUGAGUGGAAUUCCGAGUGUAGAGGUGAAAUUCGUAGAUAUUCGGAAGAACACCAGUGGCGAAGGCGGCUCACUGGACUGGUAUUGACGCUGAGGCACGAAAGCGUGGGGAGCAAACAGG
rnacentral:rRNA from 1 species